rnacentral:misc_RNA from 1 species
GCAAAGUAUAGCAACUACACUACAUAUGGAGAAGCCAAGAGAGUCUCGCACGCAACAAAGGAAGGGCGUCACUCUAUUACUCUUUCCACUACCACUGCAAGGCCACAUAAACCCUAUGCUUCAACUUGCCAACAUACUCUACUCUAAAGGGUUCUCCAUCAUUAUAAUUCAUACCAAAUUCAACUCUCCAAAUCCUUCCAAAUACCCUCAUUUCACCUUCCGUUCCAUCCCAGAUGGCUUGUUCGAACACGAAACUUCCAGUGCAGAUGUUGUGCAUUUAGUUACACUGCUCAAUAUCAAGUGUAUUAGAUCAUUUCAUGAUAGUUUGAUUAAAUUGUUGUUGGAUGUUAAGGAGGAGCCUAUUGCUUGCUUGAUCACAGAUGCUGACUGGUACUUCACUCAAGCUGUUGCUGAUAGUAUGAAGCUCCCAAGGCUUGUGUUACGCACCAGCAAUAUUUCUUCCUUUCUUGUUUAUGCUGCUUUGCCACUUCUGCUGGAAAAGGGUUAUAUCCCCAUCAAAGAUUCUCAAUUAGAAGAGCCAGUGCCAGAGCUUCCCCCACUUAAGGUGAAAGAUCUUCCAGGAGUCAAAACAAGGGAUGUGGAGGAUUUUUAUCAUUUACUAGCAGAAUUAGUGAAUGAAACCAAGGCCUCUUCAGGAUUAAUUUGGAACUCUUUUGAAGACCUUGAGCAAGUUGAACUAAGUGCACUAUGUAAGGACUUUCCCAUUCCAAUCUUCACAAUAGGUCCAUUUCACAAGUACUUUCCAGCCACUUCAAGUAGCUUACUAACACAAGACAAAAGUUGCAUUUCUUGGCUGGACAAGAAAGCCCCAAACUCUGUACUCUAUGUGAGCUUUGGGAGUAUUGCAGAAAUAAAUGAGGCUGAAUUUCUGGAGAUAGCUUGGGGACUAGCCAAUAGCAAUCAGCCCUUCUUGUGGGUGGUUCGACCUGGAUUAGUCCUUGGCUCAGAAUGGCUUGAACCAUUGCCUGAUGGGUUCUUGGAGAUGAUAAGAGGAAGAGGACGUAUUGUCAAGUGGGCUCCCCAGCAGGAAGUACUAGCACGCCCUGCCAUUGGAGGGUUUUGGACACACAAUGGCUGGGAUUCAACAUUGGAAAGUUUAUGUGAAGGGGUCCCUUUGAUAUGUCAGCCCAAUUUCGGUGACCAAAUGGUAAAUGCAAGAUAAGUGAGCAAUGUUUGGAGAAUUGGAAUACAUUUAGAGAAAAAACUGGAGAGAGGGAAUAUAGAAAGUGCAAUUAAAACGCUAAUGGUGGAGGCAGAAGGGCAGGAAUUGAGAAUGAGGACUCUAAAUUUGAAGGAUAAAGCGGAUCUUUGUCUAAGGGAAAAGGGAUCUUCCUGCCAAAAUCUUGAGAAUUUGAUCAAUUACAUUUGAUCAUUAGCCUGCAAGGAUGCAACUUAUGUUCAAUGAUUUUUAGUAACAAAUAUUUGUUUAUGCAAUUAAGCUUUUGUUUAAGUUCAAUUUUUUCAUAAAAUUGUGCACUCAAUG